rnacentral:rRNA from 1 species
CUACAAUGCAGUCGAGCGGUGAACGGUAGCUUGUUACUGGACCGGUGGACCAACGGGUGAGUGAGGCUUAUGUGUCUGACUAUUCUUGGGGGACGACAUCACCUACGGGAAGCUAUGCCUAAAUCCGUCCAACGGCUUAAAGCCAGGGAUCUUCAGACCUUGCCCUAAUACCUGAGCCUGAGCCGGAUUAGCUUGUUGGUGGGGUAGAGGCCUACCCUCGCCACGAUCAGGAUCGGGUCUGAGACGAUGAGCCGCCCCACUGGGACUGAAACACAGACCAGACUCCUACUCCUGGCAGCGGUGGGGAAUAUUGAACAAUGGUUCGGGCCUGAUCCUGCCGUGCCCCGUGUGUGAAGAAGGCCAAGGGGUUGUAAAGGACUUUAAGCGAUCCGAGGCUACUUGAGUUAAUACCUAUGACUAGUGGACGUUACUCUCUAAUAAAAACCGGCUAACUCUGGGCUAGCAGCCGGCCAAAUACAGAGGGUGUAAGUGUUAAUCGAAUUUACUGGGGGUAAAUCGUGCGUACGCGGCUUAUUAAUGCGGAUGUGAAAUCCCCGAGCUUAACUUGGGAAUUGCCUUCGAUACUGGUGAGCUAGAUUAUGGCAUAGGAAGGGAGAAUUACUUGCGUUCCAUGAAAUGCGUACAGAUCUGUAGGAAUACCUAUGGCAAACGAAGGCAUCUCGCCUAACACUGACUGUGACUUACGUAAGCAUGCGAAGCAAACAGGAUUAAAUACAUUGGAGUCCGUGCCGUACACGACGUCUACUACCGUGGGAGCCUUCCGGGAUUAGUGCUCCGCUAACCGCAAUUAGUAGACCGCCGCUGAGUAGGCCGCAAGAAUAGAUACUACUCAAAUUGAUGGAGGCCCCCCAAGCGGUGGAGCAAGUGGUUAUUUCUUUGAUUCCCAGAGAACCUUAUCAGCUCUUCAGGACUAGAAACUUUCAGAUAUGCAUUGGUACCUUUCGUUACUCUAGUUCCAGUGCUGCAUGUGUGCCUCCGUCUCGUCACU